AUACAACAGUACCGUCACACUUAUACUUUGUUUUCUGUCAUAAUAUUAGUUGACUGUGGCAGCCGGGAAGGUUGUGUCCAGUAUACCAUUCACACAUUAGGUCUCUAGACUCUAAUCGAAUAAAAAGAUUCGGGGAAAAACUACGGUUUAUCAAUGGUCAAGCACAAAUAACAUCUGAUUAAUCCAUUAUGCAUGCUACUUUACCAAAUUUGCACAAAUAACAUCUACUUAAUCCAUUAUAUGACUUUACUAUCUUUUAUGUCCAUAAUGCAGCCCCUCACACUUUAAAGGGUCAAAAAUAGGAGAGAAUAAAACUUUUCUUUAGACAAGAACAGAAUGAAAACUUUAAACCAAGUGCAGAAAUAUAGCACAGAAUUGAAAUUUGUAUAGAUCCAUUGAAUAACAAUAUUAGAAGUUCAACAAAAGAAAUCAAAAUAGAAUAAGCUUGCUUAGGAGGAAGAUCCAACGGGAAUUUUAGAUUGUAGGAUAUGAUAGAAGAUUAUCAAUUUGGUUUGGGGCCUUAGAUCUAUAUGCGACAUGAUUGCCUAAAGAGGGACUUGGAGCUUGAAGUUAUCAACCAAAUUAAUGGAAAAAAGGAGUUGUGAUUAUUUUUGAAUUAUUGUUUAGAGGAAGAGAGAAAUAAUGUACUCUUGCAUCUUUAUUGUGCAUUGAAACUUUUUUUUUCCCUUCAUGUUGUAAUGAUAAUGAUAAUUUAUGUGGUUGUUUUUGUAAAUUGAAUUUGGAUAUAAUGAGAUUGACCUAGAAAAGUCUCCUAUAUUGAAGAAUACAGGAAGGAUGAAUUCUAUUUUGG